UACGUAGGUGGCAAGCGUUGUCCGGAAUUAUUGGGCGUAAAGAGGGAGCAGGCGGCAACAAAGGUCUAACGUUAAAAGGCAAUGGCUCAACCAUUGUAUGGCGAAGAAACCAUGUAGCUAGAGUUCUAAAGAGGAUCGUGGAAUUCCAUGUGUAGCGGUGAAAUGCGUAGAUAUAUGGAGGAACACCAGUGGCGAAGGCGACGAUCUGGAUAGAAACAGACGCUGAGUCCCGAAAGCGUGGGGAGCAAAUAGG
rnacentral:misc_RNA from 1 species